rnacentral:rRNA from 2 species
AGGGAAGAGCCCAAGAUUGAAAGCUGGCGUCUUCGACGUCCGCAUUGUAAUCUCAAGAAGUGUUUUCCGCUUCGGACCAUGCCUAAGUCCCUUGGAAAAGGGCAUCAUAGAGGGUGAUAAUCCCGUACAUGGCAUGGAGCGCCCGAGGCUUUGUGAUACGCUUUCUAAGAGUCGAGUUGUUUGGGAAUGCAGCUCAAAAUGGGUGGUAAAUGCCAUCUAAGGCUAAAUAUUGGGGAGAGACCGAUAGCGAACAAGUACAGUGAUGGAAAGAUGAAAAGAACUUUGAAAAGAGAGUUAAACAGUACGUGAAAUUGCCAAAAGGGAAGGGUAGGAGGUCAGAGAUGCGUCUUGGGAUUCAGCCUUGCUUUUGCUUGGUGUUUUUCCCAAGUUGCAGGCCAACGUCGGUUUUGGGCACUGGAGAAGGGUGGAAGGAACGUGGCACCUCUCGGGGUGUGUUAUAGCCUUCCACUGGAUACAGCGACCGAGACCGAGGACAGCAGCGUACUCGCAAGAGCGGGCCUUCGGGCACCUUUACGCUUAGGGCGUUGGCAUAAUGGCCCUCUACCACCCGUCUUGAAACACGGACCAAGGAGUCUAACAUGUAUGCGAGUCUUUGGGUGGCAAACCCAUAGGCGCAAUGAAAGUGAAUUCAGGUGGGAUCCGCAAGGUGCACCAUCGACCGAUCCUCACGUCUUUUAAGUCGUGGAUUUGAGUAAGAGCAUACCUGUUGGGACCCGAAAGAUGGUGAACUAUGCCUGAAUAGGGUGAAGCCAGAGGAAACUCUGGUGGAGGCUCGUAGCGGUUCUGACGUGCAAAUCGAUCGUCAAAUUUGGGUAUAGGGGCGAAAGACUAAUCGAACCAUCUAGUAGCUGGUUCCUGCCGAAGUUUCCCUCAGGAUAGCAGAAACUCACAUCAGUUUUAUGAGGUAAAGCGAAUGAUUAGAGGACUUGGGGAAGUAACUUCCUUAACCUAUUCUCAAACUUUAAAUGUGUAAGAAGCCCUUGUUACUUUAGUGAACGAGGGCAUGCGAAUGAGAGUUUCUAGUGGGCCAUUUUUGGUAAGCAGAACUGGCGAUGCGGGAUGAACCGAACGUUGGGUUAAGGUGCCAAAGUAUACGCUCAUCAGAUACCAGAAAAGGUGUUAUUUAGUCUAGACAGUGGGACGGUGGCCAUGGAAGUCGGAAACCGCUAAGGAGUGUGUAACAACUCACCCACCGAAUUAAGUAGCCCUGAAAAUGGAUGGCGCUCAAGCGUAUCACCGAUACCCAACCGUCAGUGUUUAGCGAAGCGCUGACGAGUAGGCAGGCGUGGGGGUCCGUAUGGAAGCCUUGGCAGUGAUGCUGG